UUUGAUUACUGUUAUCAUUCUUGUUGCUGUGACCACCUAAUAUCCCUGUUGUUGUAAGCACCGGAUUCUCUCUCCUUUUACGUUUACAAAGAAUCAGGCCUAAACCUAAAGCGAGCAGAAUCAAUGCAACCAAUAGUGGCAAAGCUAUUGCAAGUAUAACAGUUAUCUUUCUUGUUGAUCCGGCAGAACCUAUCUCUGAAGCAGACAUCCUAAUGUAGAUAUCCUGUCCUGAUUGAGAUAGCUGUCUGAUGUCAAUUAACUCGUCAAUCCAUAUCAAGCACCCACUUCCUCCAUUGCGUAUGUCCAGAUUUGUGUAAGCCGUACACGAACAAUUUCUCAAGCAAA
rnacentral:misc_RNA from 1 species